rnacentral:misc_RNA from 1 species
CAAAAGGCUGUCAAGAACAAUAAAUUUCCAAGAAGCUAUUACCGGUGUACUCAUCAAGGUUGCAAUGUGAAAAAGCAAGUUCAAAGAUUGACAAGAGAUGAAGGAAUUGUUGUGACAACUUAUGAAGGAAUGCAUUCUCAUCCAAUUGAAAAGUCCACCGAUAACUUUGAGCAUAUCUUAAGCCAAAUGCAAAUCUACACUACUUCCUUUUAAUUAAACAAGUUCCCUCUCCUCUCCUAUACAAGAAUUAACAUUCAAUUUUAGUUUCUUGUACAUUGUUAUUUACUCGUGAGUGCACUUCCAAUAUAAAGUCC